CUAAAGUGUUUAAUGGCACUUCUAAUCCAUUACCCACCUUGUGUGCAUUGUCAGGAGGGAAGAUCCCCCUAGGGAUUUUCUCUCUUUUUCAUUCCACUCUUUCUUAAACAUCAGUCUACAUCAAUUGAGAACUAAAAAUCUCUAAUA
rnacentral:misc_RNA from 1 species